GUGCAGCAGGCGAGAAUACUUUACAAUGUGCGAAAGCACGAUAAGGGAACUCUGAGUGCCUCCUAAGGAGGCUGUUCUGAUGUCUAAAAAGCAACAGAAGUAAGGGCUGGGUAAGACCGGUGCCAGCCGCCGCGGUAACACCGGCAGCCCAAGUGGUAGCCACGUUUAUUGGGUCUAAAGCGUUCGUAGCCGGCCAGGUAAGUUCCUUGGUAAAUUUAGCCGCUUAACGGUUAAGCUUUCAGGGAAUACUGCUUGGCUUGGGACUGGGAGAGGUCAGAGGUACUCCGGGGGUAGGGGUGAAAUCUAUUAAUCCCUGGGGGACCACCGGUAGCGAAGGCGUCUGACCAGACCAGGUCCGACGGUGAGGGACGAAGGCUAGGGGCGCGAACCGGAUUAGAUACCCCGGUAGU
rnacentral:rRNA from 1 species